AGUGAACGCUGGCGGUAGGCCUAACACAUGCAAGUCGAACGGCAGCACAGUAAGAGCUUGCUCUUACGGGUGGCGAGUGGCGGACGGGUGAGGAAUACAUCGGAAUCUACUUUUUCGUGGGGGAUAACGUAGGGAAACUUACGCUAAUACCGCAUACGACCUACGGGUGAAAGCAGGGGAUCUUCGGACCUUGCGCGAUUGAAUGAGCCGAUGUCGGAUUAGCUAGUUGGCGGGGUAAAGGCCCACCAAGGCGACGAUCCGUAGCUGGUCUGAGAGGAUGAUCAGCCACACUGGAACUGAGACACGAUCCAGACUCCUACGGGAGGCAGCAGUGGGGAAUAUUGGACAAUGGGCGCAAGCCUGAUCCAGCCAUACCGCGUGGGUGAAGAAGGCCUUCGGGUUGUAAAGCCCUUUUGUUGGGAAAGAAAAGCAGCAGGUUAAUACCCCGCUGUUCUGACGGUACCCAAAGAACAAGCACCGGCUAACUUCGUG
rnacentral:rRNA from 1 species